AGGCUGCCUUCUUAUCACUGCUAAGGCAAUAAACCCCCUGUUACGUGUGGUGGCCAAUCAUCAACCUGACCAAUCUGGAAUCGCUUGUGUAGAAGAUUCAGUCAUUAUCGCGACAGCAAAGUUACAACCAACGCUGGAUACUGCAGAAGUGCGUCUGAUGCCUUGUUACACACGUCUUUUCUACACUUUUUCUUAUCAGAUGCUUCGUCACAGGGAAGUCUAACAGCAUCAUCUCUUCCUUUGCCAGACCUCCACCAUUUUUCCCCCAGGUGGGCCCAGGUUAAUAUGAUGUGGUGCCCCAGCAUUCAGAAACUCCUACAAAGGUUAUGUUCCGCUACAGGCUGCAUUGGCUUAAUGUUCCUUUCCAAGGUUACAGUUUAUCUUUGUGUUAUGUAAAGUUAUUGGGCAAUAAACCCUACGGUCAGGGUGGUAGUCAAUCAUCACCCUGAGAAUUUA